GUGCUUGCUUUGGCAGCACAUAUACUAAAAUUGGAACAAUACAGAGAAGCUUAGCAUGACCCCUGCAUAAGGAUGACACACAAAUUCAUGAAGCAUUCCAUAUUUAA
ensembl:snRNA U6 U6 spliceosomal RNA